ACAGUGGCGCACAAUACAAAGCGCUGAAUACAAUACAGCUGGCGAAGGCAUUAACCUGAUUCAGACUGACGACCCUGUUCUCUUGAAUCGCCACAGGUCCGGCAGUGACGAGCACUUCGAAACCAGGCGACGGAGUUUUUCGAUGGAGUAUCAAGGCGCUGUGGCGGUGUGAUAUCGAUCUACAAGCACCUCGCUUGGGAAAGAAGAAGCAAGAAAUGCUUGAGGUUCUUCAUGUUUUCUGCUGAAGAAAAAGAUCUGGCUGCACUUCAUAUAAGGCAAGCAACCAAGAAAAGUUAUUGUUAAUAACCUCUUAAGAAAAACAAACGGAAUACAGCUACAUUAUGAGUUAAAUUAAACAAAAGUGAAGUGACAUAUGAAUCACGGCACCCAGGAACUUCUUGACUGGCUGAAGACAACCAUUUUUUACAUUGUAGCUACCCAACAAAUUAAGUAGAAAACUAUGAAAGAUUUUGUAUAUUGGAAAAUCACUAAUUGUCUUGGCUAGAGAUUAACGUGUGAGAAGUAAGUUACUCUUUCAAACAUGAGAGUUGUUUGAACAUGCAUUUCAGCUUUAUAAAAGCGCUCUGUCAAAAAUGAGAUUUUUGAUCAGCAUGACAUUAGUACUUCGACUGUGGUAGUUUUUCAGUUGGCAUUGUAAAGACUAGUACUGAAUAAUACUAUAACAGUGAGUUAAAGAAUGUAACUUUUCCACUCGGUUUUAAUACUUUUAAAGCAACUCAUGCAGUAAUGUUCUUACAGUUAUUGCAAAAGCAGUAUUGGCACAGGCCUCUACUGAAUAAAUUUAUAAUAUUGAUAGACUCGUGGGCUGCCUGACUUUGAUAAUGACAAGCAGGGCCAUACAGUAGCAUGGUCUAUUACAAAAAGA
rnacentral:lncRNA from 1 species